UUGAUGGGGUUACUCUGAAUUUUCAAGCGAUAAAGAAAAAUUCAUUUGUGGAACCCAUCCAUUAGAAUCUCCAAGAAACUGCCGAAAAUUUCUAUUUGCAGCUAUGUUAAACUCUAGGAUUUAUUAGAAAUAUAAUUUGAAUGUUAGGGAUAAAAUAGUAUAUUUAUUAUUAUUUUUAUUAUAAUUUUAAAAAAUGGGCUAUAAAGAGUAAAAAUAAGGCUAUGAAUAGAAUCACCCCUUCAAAAAUCACCACUAAACAAUUUGUUAGCAUCAUUAAACACUAUGUUACCGUCGCUUACAAUAUUUAACUCCUAUACCACCAAAUAACAUAAACUUACAUUCUUAAUAUUAUACAAAUUUCUAACAUUAUUUAUAAUUUAUUCUGCAUUUUGAUGAAACUCCUAACGUACCAAAAAAAUACUUAAUUAUAGCAAAUUCUAAUUUUAUUAUAAGAUUUUUGUGGCUUUAUUAUGUAAAUUCGGAUUAGCAAACAAAAAUUUCCCUAACACUUCUAGUUUAACAAGCCGAGUUCACAGCUCAGCUUCAAAUAUGUCGAUCGGGCCAACCCAUCGGAUUUCGGGCUGGUCCUAUCGGGUUACGUGUUAUUUGGGUGCGGGUUAAUCGAAUUGAAAAAAAUUUCGGGUUAGAAAUUUCCAACACUAACCCUAAAUAUUCGGAUUUCGGGAUAGCCCAUCGAACUAGUCCGGCUCAAAGUUUUAUUUAAAAAGAAUAACUAAU
rnacentral:lncRNA from 1 species